ensembl:lncRNA
AAAGCACUGAAAGAGGAACAGGAGAACCUUUUGAGGUUGAGGAGAAGCUGAGCCCACAAGACUCUACCCUCUCCUAAGACUGAAAUGUAAAUGAAAAUUUCUGAAUUUUCCUGCUCCUCUACUCAUGUGCAACAUCAGGGGUGCAUUUGACUGCCUGAGGAGCUGAUCCUGGAAGAAAAACCUCUGAGACCUGUGCAGCAGUCCAGAGCUCUGCUUGCAGCCAGGUCCUGGCACACUUUGCAUAUGGUGUUCUUUCUGCUCCUGUGUGAGCAUUCGUGGGACCUAUCUGGAGCAAACUUCGUGAUAUUCCACAUUGCUACCAUUUCC